rnacentral:lncRNA from 1 species
AUGCUGCUACGAGACAUCUAUUUCUGUAAAGCUACGGCAAUGCAGCAGAGCUCAGGAAAAGCUCAAGACCGACUUAUUCCAGUCUUGUCUUCAUUUUAAAAUUUGUACCAUGAGAAGUUCAAAAGCUUUUUCCACAUUGUUUGUGAGGUUUCUCCAGAGGGAGUAUUUCUGGCUCUGGUUAGAAAAGAACUCCCUGUCUUGCUAAAGAUUGACAAUUAUGUACAUUUUUGGCCUCUAACUUAAGCAAGCCAGCAGGCCCUCGGGGUGCUUAAAGCCCUGUUAUGGACAGAAAGUUACUUCUAAAGAACAUUUUUUAAACGCUAUUUGAAAUCUAGGCUCUGAUACAGCGAUAAGCUGUUUUGAAAACAGAGCUCAUGUAGGUCAUAUUUAUCUUAACUGCUCCACAAGUUGUUCUCUAUUUUGAGACAGACACGUCUUCUAGCUCGGAACAAGGGGCUCGGAGGUAAAGAAAGUCUCUUCGGUGUUUCAGAGGGCCACAGCCAUUACAUGACCUUUUUACUGUGCAGCUGAUCUGUGCUUCCUGGCCCCGUGUCAUCACGGCUCAGCAUCGUGACAUGCUGAAAGAUCAUCACGGUGGAAACAAUGCAGAGCAGCAUUUGGAUGGUGUGGCGGCCUGCCCUGCUUAUUUUGUAUUGCCUAGAAACUAUUAUCCAGAGCACAACAGAGGACCUCAAGAACUGUCCCUGGAGCUACAAAGAUGUGUUUUAUUAAAGGACUGGACAUUUUAUCUCUGUGUGGAGAUGCAGGUUCUUUUCCCUUUCUCCAGCUGGCUAGCACAAUUUUUGAUAUCCUCGAUGUCUUUUUCUUGUGAAGGCAGUUGUACUAGCAAGAGAGAUUCCAAGAAAAAGCUUAGGACACUUGCUGCUCUGAGAGGAGAAACCUGCCUCGGCAAUUUAAGAGAGGAAGGAAAAGAUAAUAGUGAGGGAGUUCUUGAACUGAUAACGCCGACUAUUGAGGUGUUAUUCCUCAACAGACUUUGGGUUCUGAUUUUUUUCUUUUUAUGA